rnacentral:rRNA from 1 species
AUUGAACGCUGGCGGCAUGCCUUACACAUGCAAGUCGAACGGCAGCACGGGAGCAAUCCUGGUGGCGAGUGGCGAACGGGUGAGUAAUAUAUCGGAACGUGCCCAGUAGUGGGGGAUAACUGCUCGAAAGAGCAGCUAAUAGCGCAUACGACCUAAGGGUGAAAGGGGGGGAUCGCAAGACCUCUCGCUAUUGGAGCGGCCGAUAUCAGAUUAGCUAGUUGGUGGGGUAAAGGCCUACCAAGGCAACGAUCUGUAGUUGGUCUGAGAGGACGACCAGCCACACUGGGACUGAGACACGGCCCAGACUCCUACGGGAGGCAGCAGUGGGGAAUUUUGGACAGUGGGCCCAAGCCUGAUCCAGCAAUGCCGCGUGCAGGAAGAAGGCCUUCGGGUUGUAAACUGCUUUUGUCAGGGAAGAAAUCCUCUAGGUUAAUACCCUUGGGGGGAUGACGGUACCUGAAGAAUAAGCACCGGCUAACUACGUGCCAGCAGCCGCGGUAAAAC